UAGGCCCACAAUUGAUUCUAACGGCUGUGAGGGAAUGAGCUUCAACUACUGUUGAUGGGAGGGACUGUGUGCCAGGCACUGUGCUAGGGACUCUCAUGCAUGAUCUCAUUCAUCUUCUGCAUAACCCAAUGAGGUAUGAUCUACUAUCAAGUGUCUACAUUUGUAUUGGAUUGACUUAACAUCUCUGGAAAGCCAGAAAUCAGAGAUACAGAGAAGUAUUGAAAUGCUGAAAUGCUAUGAAUUUACUAUAAGAGAACAUUCUUCACUGAAGAGAUCUCUAGCUGCC
rnacentral:lncRNA from 10 species